UACGGGGGGAGCAAGCGUUGUUCGGAUUUACUGGGCGUAAAGGGCGCGUAGGCGGCCACCGCAAGUCGACUGUGAAAUCUCCGGGCUUAACCCGGAAGGUCAGCCGAUACUGCGGGGCUAGAGUGCAGAAGGGGCAACUGGAAUUCUCGGUGUAGCGGUGAAAUGCGUAGAUAUCGAGAGGAACACCUGCGGCGAAGGCGGGUUGCUGGGCUGACACUGACGCUGAUGCGCGAAAGCUAGGGGAGCGAACGGG
rnacentral:rRNA from 1 species